UACGGAGGAUCCAAGCGUUAUCCGGAUUUAUUGGGUUUAAAGGGUGCGUAGGCGGAUUGAUAAGUUAGAGGUGAAAUGUCCGAGCUCAACUCGGGAACUGCCUCUAAUACUGUUGAUCUAGAGAGUAGAUGCGGUAGGCGGAAUGUAUGGUGUAGCGGUGAAAUGCUUAGAGAUCAUACAGAACACCGAUUGCGAAGGCAGCUUACCAAUCUAUAUCUGACGUUGAGGCACGAAAGCGUGGGGAGCAGACAGG
rnacentral:rRNA from 1 species